rnacentral:lncRNA from 1 species
UUUUUUUUUUUUGGUUAGAUGAUCUCCUGUUAUUAUCUGUUUGAUUGUUUUUUUGUUUUUUUUUUCAUUUUUUGCAAAUGCAAUAUUUGGUUUUGGCUUGUGGUUGCCCUGUUUUUUAAGUAUGCUAACCCCUUCCUAUAAUUGUGUGUUUUAGCCUGAUGGUCCUGUAAGUUCAAACACUUCAUUACUAUAUUAAAAUUAAGAAGAGAAACAUACUAACAAACAAACAAAAAGGGUUAUUUACUUCCUAACAUCCCUUGCCCACAUUUGAUGGUUUUGAUGACUCUUUUUUAUUUUUUUCUUUUUAAUUUUAUUUUGUUUGAGGCCUGAUCAUGAUUAAAUCUGUAUGCUGGCUUAUUUGAGUGACUGCUCUCUGAUUGCGGUUUCCUCAGUCCUAGUUCUUCCUCCUCUUCUUUUUUUUUUUCUUUUCUUUUCUUUUUUUCUUCCCUUUCCUUCCUUUCUUUUUGGUUUAGAGAAGCCCUUUCAGUAUUUCUUUUAACCUGGGUUUUGUGUUGCUGUAUUCUUAUAUGUUCUUAAUCCAUUCAUUGUGAUGGACAUUUAGCUUGUUUCCAUAUAUUAGCUAUUGUGAAUAGUGCUGCUGUGAGAGGGGUACAUGUAACGGAAGUAUUUAAUACUAACAACCCUCCCCUAAGACAAAUGGCAAUGUCUUGGACUAAUUUCUCUUUAUAAACUCAUCACCCUUGGUUACAACUUAUGAUGUUAUAAAUAUAUUAAAGGGAAUCCACAGCUCAGCCUCCAAAUGACUUAAUUAUCCACACCAAGUACAUCCUCUUUUUAAAAACUGAUCCUAAAAAUUACCUUAUAGAGUUCUAGUAAUUUUGAGUUCUGCGUAAAAAAUAUUUGUUGUUUAAAAGAAAUACAUUUGUGCAUGUAAAGUUGAAGUAUUGAACACAUUUGAUGCCUUUAAUAUUGUUCUUUUUAUGGAAAAUGCCUGUUAACUUCAGAAACAAUUUUAUGUGAAUGAAAUAUCCUAUCUACAAACAAUGAACUUUAAACCCAGAUUUCAUUUAAUGGAAUUAUAUUGGUGAAAUAAAUCACUUGUGUAUGUGUGGGUCCCUGUAAUAUUAUUGUGCUUACAGUUGUUGCCAUGCUCCAGGGGAGUGAUGGAUGGCAUCAAAGAUUAACCCAAUUUUACAUCAAGUUCUUGCUAAUCUCACACCACCCCUUCAUAAAUCUGAAUAAAUUGUUGCUGCUCCACAACACUAGUGUGAGCUCUAAAAUGGUUUUAGCCUGAAAUUAUAUAUUAUUGAAACCUCCUUUGAAAAUGGUACGGGCUUUUAUUGUUUUCAUAACUGAAUUGUGUUUUCACAUCUCUUACACUGCUGUAGUGGGUAUUGCUUAGCAACAAGCCUCCAAGAGGAUGGGGGAUAGCACAACUCAUUAACAUAAUAUGCUAAUCCCUGGGUUCUGACUACCACCUGGGUAAAUUUACUUCAGGCCCCUAUGACUUGCAUAACCCAACAGAAUGAUUCUUCUUCCCCUUCUAAAAUGAGUUUGUAUUUCUAUAUAAUUAAACAUAUUAUCUCAGUGAUAUGGCAGCAAAUAUUAAAUAUUAAGUAGUGUAGAUCACCCAGCAGGGAACUAAUAUACAUAAAAAAGUAUUUUCACAUGAAGAUUCACCUAACUUUUUAAAACAAAUGCCACUUAAAGAGGCAAACCCAUGCUACAUCAUUGCAUUUUGCCGCCCUUUGUUUAAAAAGAGAACAUAAAUGAUACACUACAAAUAGAAAGUACUCUUUGUAGGAGUGGCUCACACUGAGAAAUGCAUGCAAUUUCUCCUAGACUUCUUUGUAUCCAGGAGUACACUUUUGGGAGAUAUUAAAUUUUAAGGUAAGCCCAGAGCAAAGGAAAAAACUUUCUGCUCUCCAAAAUUAACAACUGCCUCUAUGUAGUUUGAGUAAAUGACUUUGGUCUUAUUAGAACAGACAGAAAUACUUUUGAGAAUACCAAGAUUCACAGCUCCCUUUAAAAACAAUUCUGAAUCAUCCAGAAGUAGUGUGGGACAUGCAUAUGACAUGGAGCAUACCCAUCAAGACUUUAGCUCAAAAGCUGGCAAAAUUACUGUGGUAAUUUCCUAACCCCAGGUUAGCUAUUUUAAUCCCCCUUUGGGUUCAGACUUCAUGAGUUUCUCUGGAGAGGAUUUCUCAUUCACUCCACCCUGUUGGCCUCUUGUGUGACAUGAAGAAUUGAGGCAAUCUGUACCCUACUUAUGGGCUUACUUUCUCAAAAUGGGUUAAUGCGCUUUCAAACCUGUUCAUCAGAGAAUGGAAGAGUUGUGUAAGACACUAUGAGGAAGCCUGAUGGUCUCAAUGGAAUAUGAGAGCAUUUCAGAAGUCUGGAAGCAUUAAUCCUCUGCAUUAGCCAAUUCUUUUGAGAAAUUUUGUUAAAUAGGACAUCAGCAGCCAUAUAUCCUAAUUCUAUUUUUCUCUUCUUUCAAAGUACUAAAUUUCUAAUUUCAAAGUGGUUACUGUCCUUUCAGAUAUUGACAGAACAAUCUGAUCGAUUAGUUCAACUAUUCCCACCACACAGAGCAAAUAUUAAAACAUCAAAAAAGACAAUAAAUUGCCUUAAGGAAUUGGCAUCUGAAGUUUAAGUUUAAAAGAUCCUUAGCCUUUAGGUAAAUACUGUAGAAGUAAAGCAAAGAUUAAUUAAAAUUAAAAUAUGAUUGUUAUAAAAUAUGGUUAUAUUAGAAGGGAACAAUUUCUGAUAUUCUAAAAAUUUUAAUAGAAUUCAAAAAUUUUAAUAGAAUUCAAAAAUAUCCAGUGUUGGCUUCCCAUAUUAAAUUUUACAUAUAAAUCCACUCUGAGGAAAAUGUAAUUGCUUCCAAGCUCUUGGAUUCUACUAUCCAUAAUGAAUAAUGUAUUGUGACAUGUUUUUAUAAAGUUAAAUGUUUCUUUUGACGAGGAACAUUUAUCACCUAAAAACACUUGAGCUUUUACUUUCUUUCCUCCACUUUGUCUUCAUUUAAAAUUUUUUCCUGUCUUUUUCUGGUUACUCCAGUUUCUGUUGUUAACUCUGUAGUGUUGAAUGAUAGAUGGUUUGAUCACUGAAUGGAAUUGCUUUUAUUUUAUUUUGACAUUGACUCAAUGAUAGAUCCACAAGCCUGUGUGAGUAUUACAAAGAUUUCCUCAAAAAGAAGAUUUAAAACUAUGAUAUACAAGUCAUACAGUCAUUUUUCCUUCUUUUCUUCAAUCCUCAAAGACUAAUUGGUAUUUCAAACAAAAUCUUUAUCAUCUGUUUACCUAUCUAUAUAUCGAGAGAAGAACAAGAAUCACAAUGAUGCAAUGUCAUAGUACCCACAUUCAUUAUCUGAAGUAAAGACAGAUAAGAGAGUAGGGCAGAAUAGGUAAAAGUUAAUGAAUAUCGAGAUAGAACAAAGAGAGUGGUCUUCAAUUUGAAAUAUUACCAAAAUAAAAUUGUGUGGAAGGAAUUAAAACCUACUGUAGAUAAGGAGAGCAUAAAGAAUAUUUACCAACUCUAAGCUGAAUGAGGACAAAUUAGGUCCUGUGGCACUGAUAAUAAUAAUAGAAUAUAUUCAAACAAUUUCAUGUAUUAUCUUGUGCAUUUAGCCAUGUAAUCACACCGGCAGAUAUCCUUCCACAAGGAGCAUGACUGACUGAUGGCCCCAAAUACUGCUCCUCUAGACUUCCAACUAUUCAUGUUAAGAUCACUCAAUAUCCAGUGGAUGAAGAGGACAUAAUACUAAGUAGAACAUGCAUAGUUCCUGGCACAAGCAGAGAGCUCAAUUGCUAAAGAUUUCACUGAGGAUGACCUAGUAAUUCAACCUAGUAGAGGGCCAAUGCCUUUUCCAGGCUUUAUCAGGUGAGAUGGUUCAGACAUUUGAAAGAUAUGUGAGGGGAGGGCACUGGGCAGUAGGCCAUGCCUAUAAUAAUAACCAGACUUGGUUAGUUAAUACAAUGUUGUAUUUUUCCUCUGUAAAGAGCUAGUGAGAGACUGAAGGCCAUUAAUAAGCAGUUGAUCUCCAAAAAGAGAGCCUUUUUGGUAGCCUACAAAGGAGAUUUUAUCUCCUACAAUAGAAGAACAGAUAUUGCUGAAUAGCAGACUGAAGAUCUAAUUGAGUGACAAAACUAAGACAUUUGAAUCCUCAGUCAAGGUGGAUCUGCAAUACCAAGGGUAGGACACUAGUUGGGAAACCUAGAAUCCCAAAACAUGAAUGGGAAUAUUUGAGUGGAUGUCCCUGGGGAGACUGGCUCUGAAGAAUACACAUGGAUUAUGGUGGGGGUCCAUCCUUCCCUAGUAAGAGAUAGUAUUUCUCUUCCAUUAGAGAGGACUCUCCCUGCAAGCAACAGUUGUUUCCAUCAAGUGUCACUUCCAUAUGCUCUCCUGAUAAUUGGGUUAAAUCCAUGCUAGAGUUGUAUUGACCCUGGUGAAGGAGGGAAAAAAAAGCUAUAUGAAAAAGAUAAGAAACAUAUAGUAUAUACUGGAAGGAUCCAGCUGAAUACCCUUGGGAUUGGAUUUUGAAGGACCUUGAUCAACAAAUUCAGAGCAAAAAAUGAGAUAAACAAGAAUUGACUUUGAGGCACAUUCUUAGGGCACAGCCUGGGUAGGGCUCACAGGGAAAUAAGCAAAGUUAUCAUUAAAAAGCUAUUAGAAGUCUGGAGAAAGCAAAGGUUAUUGUGGAGAUGACUGAGUUACCCUGUAAGAUAGUGAAGGAAACAGUAAAGUGGUCGAGUGACAUAGGCAUGCUGGGAUGAAUACACUGUGAAAGCAGAAGUCCUGGCAGAAGAUUGUGUUCCUUGGGGGGAUAUAGAAGACACACUGCUCAAGAAAGCCUUUAGGAUUCUGGAAAAGAGAAUUAUAUGCCUUUUGGGGAGCAGUUCCUGGUAUGUUAGUUUGGCUCUAAUAGAGAUAAAAUGGGUGACCAUGGGACUGUCUAUCAUGAUCUGGAUUUACUAGACUCCUCAAAUCAUAAAAUUAGAUAGUCUUGGCAGCAGACACCUCAAAUUGAGCCCAAGGAGGACAAAAGAGCAUGAUUAAGUUAAAUAAUUGGGAACCUAGGCCCCUGUACCACCUGAUACAGAUGGACAAAAACCCCCUCUCCACUUCAUAUCUUUGGCCAAGCUUACUUUAGAAUAAGUUGGCUUGUUAUGUGGGUACAAUCUGAAAAUGGACAGUGGCUGCACUGAAUCCACCUUCAGGGGUGGUCUUGAAAGACUGGAGAUGAAAAUCUCUCCGAAGAACAGAGCCACAAAUACUAAACCUGGUCCUUGACUUUGGAUGGAAGAAGUAGCCCUGCAUGAAAUUGUAAACAGAUUUCUGGUCAGUAGUCAAUGGCCAGGCUGCAUUGUCAGAGGUCUGGAAGAGAAAAACACUAGAUGAUCAAGGACAAGAAGUUCUGCUCCAGAAGCAUUUGGGCGAACAUAUGGGAUUGGUUGCUAAAUUAUAAACAUCCACAAGAAAGCAUCUACCAUUGAAGAGGCACUGGGCAACAAUAUAGUCAAUAUCCUAGCCCACUGAUAUUAGUUAGCUUUUGUUAUUCAUCAUAUUAGAACUGCCAAUAUCAGCACAUGUAAGUAGUAGCCAUGGUAGCAGAGACAGAGGCUAUGUAUGGAGCCAAGAAUAAGGACUUCUUUUAAUAAAGCAAAUCCAGUUACUGAUGUCUCUGAAUAUGCUACCUAUUAGCAGAGAACAAUGCUGCCCUUCCAAUAUGACAAAAUUCCUGAAGGUGACCAACUGACAGCUUGGCACAAAUUGACUACAUUAGGCUUCUUCCAUCCCAUAAAGGCCAAUGGUUCAUCUUAAUAGGAAUAAAUAAGUACUUUAAAUAUAUAUGUUCUUUUCCUGUCCACAAAGUCUCAGCCAGGACUACAAUCUAGGGGUUUACAGAGUGUCUUGUUCACAAACAUAGAGUCCACAGAACACAACAUCCAGUCAAGGGACCUACUUUAGAGAAAAAGAGAUGUGGGAGUUGGCCAUCAUAGGAUCACUUCCAUGAUAGGUUCCACUCUUUAUACCACAUACUAUACAACCCAGCAGCAGCAAAUCUCCUAGAGCUCUGUAGAAGCCUUCUAAAACAAAGCUGUAGUAUCAGCUCAGAGGCAUCAUUCUGAAAGGAUGGAAUGCCCUCCUGAAAGAUGGAGCAUAAGCAUUACAGACAUCUACCUGGUGCUG